AGUUGUUGCAGUUAAAAAGCUCGUAGUUGGACCUUGGGCAGGAGGCACGGGUUGGCCGAAUGGCUCGACUCGGGUCACCGGCCUCUAUGGGUGGUCGUGCCUUUGGGUACGGUUCGCCCGGGUUACUGUGAAGAAAUUAGAGUGUUUAAAGCAGGCGAUUACUUGGAUACAUCAGCAUGGAAUAACAAGAUAGGACCUGGUUCCACUUGUUGGUUUGGGGGCUUUGGUAAUGAUUAAUAGGGCCAGUUGGGGGCAUUAGUAUUCAGUAGUCAGAGGUGAAAUUCUUGGAUUUACUGAAGACUAACUAGUGCGAAAGCAUUUGCCAAGGAUGUUUUCAUUAAUCAAGAACGAAAGUUAGGGGAUCGAAGACGAUCAGAUACCGUCGUAGUCUUAACUAUAAACGAUGCCGACUCGGGAUCGGCAGACGUCGUUAGCGACACUGUCGGCACCGUGUGAGAAAUCAAAGUUUUUGGGUUCUGGGGGGAGUAUGGUCGCAAGGCUGAAACUUAAAGGAAUUGACGGAAGGGCACCACCAGGAGUGGAGCCUGCGGCUUAAUUUGACUCAACACGGGAAAACUCACCAGGUCCGGACAUAGUAAGGAUUGACAGAUUGAGAGCUCUUUCUUGAUUCUG
rnacentral:rRNA from 1 species